UACAGAGGUGGCGAGCGUUGUUCGGAUUUACUGGGCGUAAAGGGUGCGUAGGUGGCCGCGCAUGUCGGAUGUGAAAGCCCACUGCUUAACGGUGGAAUGUCAUUCGAAACUGCGUGGCUAGAGUACAGGAUGGGAGAGCGGAAUUCUUGGUGUAGCGGUGAAAUGUGUUGAUAUCAAGAAGAACACCGGUGGCGAAGGCGGCUCUCUGGAAUGAUACUGACACUGAGGCACGAAAGCUGGGGGAGCAAACAGGAUUAGAUACCCUGGUAGUCCCAGCCGUAAACGGUGUGCACCUGGUGUGGGAGGAGUUGACCCCUCCCGUGCCGGAGCUAACGCGUUAAGUGCACCGCCUGGGGAGUACGGCCGCAAGGCUAAAACUCAAAGAAAUUGACGGGGGCCCGCACAAGCGGAGGAGCAUGUGGCUCAAUUCGAUGCAACGCGAAGAACCUUACCAGGACUUGACAUGCAGCUGCAUAUCCGUUGAAAGGUGGAUAGCCUUCGAGGGUGCUGCACAGGUGCUGCAUGGCUGUCGUCAGUUCGUGCCGUGAGGUGUUGGGUUAAGUCCCGCAACGAACGCAACCCUUGUGUUUAGUUGCCACUACAGGUGAUGAGCCUGUGAGCACUCUAGACAGACUGCCCGUACAAGCGGGAGGAAGGUGGGGACGACGUCAAGUCAGUAUGGCCCUUACGUCCUGGGCUGCACACGUGCUACAAUGGCCGGUACAGAAGGAAGCUAAGUCGCAAGGCGGCGCAAAUCCUGAAAACCGGCCUCAGUUCGGAUUGAAGUCUGCAACUCGACUUCAUGAAGUUGGAUUCGCUAGUAACGGCGCAUCAGCUACGGCGCCGUGAAUACGUUCCCGGGCCU
rnacentral:rRNA from 1 species